CUAAAGAACGAAACGCACACAAAGAUAGAUAUAGGAACGGACAGAAAGUGAUAGAACCCUGCUGAAACGAUCCCCAUCUUCUUCAGCUCAAAACCACCAUUAAAGCUGCUCCAAACCAGCCCUAAAACACGAGCUAAAAGCUGCUCAAACCCACUGGAAAUCGCAGCAAACACAGAUGCACAACAUCACCCAAAAUAGUCCGUCGAGCACACUCCAAAAGGUCGAGGUUGCGAUUUUCAUUUUGGAGUUCGCCGUAGUCGAGUUCCCGUUGCGGUUUCAAUCUCCAAUUCAAAUUUGGGCUUAGGACCUUGUUUCAGCUUUCAGAGUGUAGGCUUCAGAAGAUUUUCUCUUAAUGUUGAAGGAAUUUUUCUGCAAUAAGUUUCUCUCAUCCCAUUUCUUAAUUGUUACAGUUUUUCCAUUAUUCUUGUUAGUAUUUAUUUGUUUAAUGAUUUGAAGCACGUUUGCUGGCAGAGUUUGAAAAGUAAAUUUGGACAAAAGGAUUUGGGGGACGUUGGAUGAGUUGGUAAUUAAGAGGGAUGAGCUAUUAUUAAUGGGACAAUCAUUUAUUGAAAAAUUAGGCCCUAUUGAAUCUUGUGAAAAUUGACUCUUAU
rnacentral:lncRNA from 1 species